GAUGAACGCUGGCGGCGUGCCUAAUACAUGCAAGUCGAGCGAACGGACGAGAAGCUUGCUUCUCUGAUGUUAGCGGCGGACGGGUGAGUAACACGUGGAUAACCUACCUAUAAGACUGGGAUAACUUCGGGAAACCGGAGCUAAUACCGGAUAAUAUUUUGAACCGCAUGGUUCAAAAGUGAAAGACGGUUUUGCUGUCACUUAUAGAUGGAUCCGCGCUGCAUUAGCUAGUUGGUAAGGUAACGGCUUACCAAGGCAACGAUGCGUAGCCGACCUGAGAGGGUGAUCGGCCACACUGGAACUGAGACACGGUCCAGACUCCUACGGGAGGCAGCAGUAGGGAAUCUUCCGCAAUGGGCGAAAGCCUGACGGAGCAACGCCGCGUGAGUGAUGAAGGUCUUCGGAUCGUAAAACGCUUUUAUUAGGGAAGAACAUAUGUGUAAGUAACUGUGCACGUCUUGACGGUACCUAAACAGAAAGCCACGGCUAACUACGUG
rnacentral:rRNA from 1 species